rnacentral:rRNA from 1 species
ACUCAAAGGAAUUGACGGGGACCCGCACAAGCGGUGGAUUAUGUGGAUUAAUUCGAUGCAACGCGAAAAACCUUACCUACCCUUGACAUGUGCGGAAGGGGGCAGAGAUGCCUCCGUGCCCGAAAGGGAGCCGCAACACAGGUGCUGCAUGGCUGUCGUCAGCUCGUGUCGUGAGAUGUUGGGUUAAGUCCCGCAACGAGCGCAACCCUUGCCGCUAAUUGCCAUCAUUUGGUUGGGCACUUUAGCGGGACUGCCGGUGACAAACCGGAGGAAGGUGGGGAUGACGUCAAGUCCUCAUGGCCCUUAUGGGUAGGGCUUCACACGUAAUACAAUGGCGCAUACAGAGGGUUGCGAAGCGGCGACGCGGAGCCAAUCCCAGAAAGUGCGUCGUAGUCCGGAUUGUUCUCUGCAACUCGAGAGCAUGAAGUCGGAAUCGCUAGUAAUCGCGGAUCAGCAUGUCGCGGUGAAUACGUUCCCGGGUCUUGUACACACCGCCCGU